rnacentral:lncRNA from 1 species
CCUGGUACUCUGCUCAGCCACAUAUUUUGUGUCAAAGCAGCAAAUGCAAUACCAGCACUCCUCAAGCUGUAAGGUGUACACAGACUUUACUUUUCACGUAAUAUAACCUAUUCAGAUCAGUAUAGGUUACAAAAGAUGGUGCUGAAAUCGUAAGAAUAGUGAGCCUACAAUAAGAAAGGAAUACAAAUUUAUACAUAAUACAAUGAGAUGGGGGACAAGAGUAUUGAAUGAAUUUGAUAAUAUUUUACCAAAGAAGUCACCCAUCUACUGACAGUGGUUCGCCAGAAUGACAGAAACCUAACAUCAUUUUGGGGAAGCACAACUAAGAAGCAGGAUAAGAAGCUGAAACUUUUGAACCACUAUUGUAAUUUCAAUGGCAAGAACAUUGAUCAAGCUUCAAAAGUAAAACAAAGUCAAAGCAUAGAAGAUAAAAGUCCACGAACUUACUAGAAGAGAAAUAAUUAUAAUAGCCUUUUAAAGAACAAUAAUGGCAUGUAUUAAC